rnacentral:rRNA from 1 species
UCGGCGCGAUAUAUCGACGACUAACGCUCAGUGUCGUCAGUCAGCGUCAGUCAGUAUCGCAGCAGUACGUAGUCUGCCUGUAAGACUGGGAUAACUCCGGGAAACCGGGGCUAAUACCGGAUGGUUGUUUGAACCGCAUGGUUCAAACAUAAAAGGUGGCUUCGGCUACCACUUACAGAUGGACCCGCGGCGCAUUAGCUAGUUGGUGAGGUAACGGCUCACCAAGGCGACGAUGCGUAGCCGACCUGAGAGGGUGAUCGGCCACACUGGGACUGAGACACGGCCCAGACUCCUACGGGAGGCAGCAGUAGGGAAUCUUCCGCAAUGGACGAAAGUCUGACGGAGCAACGCCGCGUGAAGUGAUGAAGGUUUUCGGAUCGUAAAGCUCUGUUGUUAGGGAAGAACAAGUACCGUUCGCAAUAGGGCGGUACCUUGACGGUACCUAACCAGAAAGCCACGGCUAACUACGUGCCAGCAGCCGCGGUAAUACGUAGGUGGCACAAGCGUUGUCCGGAAUUAUUGGGCGUAAAGGGCUCGCAGGCGGUUUCUUAAGUCUGAUGCUGAAAGCCCCCGGCUCAACCGGGGAGGGUCAUUGGAAACUGGGGAACUUGAGUGCAGAAGAGGAGAGUGGAAUUCCACGUGUACAGCGGUGAAAUGCGUAGAGAUGUGGAGGAACACCAGUGGCGAAGGCGACUCUCUGGUCACUGUAACUGACGCCAUGAGGAGCGAAAGCGUGGGGAGCGAACAGGAUUAGAUACCCUGGUAGUCCACGCCGUACAAACGAUGAGUGCUAAAGUGUUAGGGGGUUUCCGCCCCUUAGUGCUGCAGCUAACGCAUUAAGCACUCCGCCGUACUGGGGAGUACGGGUUCGCAAGACUGAAACUCAAAGGAAUUGACGGGGGCCCGCACAAGCGGUGGAGCAUGUGGUGUUUAAUUCGAAGUGGCAACGCGAAGAACCUUACCAGGUCUUGACAUCCUCUGACAAUCCUAGAGAUAGGACGCGUCCCCUUCGGGGGCCAGAGUGACAGGUGGUGCAUGGUUGUCGUCAGCUCGUGUCGUGAGAUGUUGGGUUAAGUCCCGCAACGACGGCGCAACCCUUGAUCUUAGUUGCCAGCAUUCAGUUGGGCACUCUAAGGUGACUGCCGGUAUGACAAACCGGAGUAGAAGGUGGGGAUGACGUCAAAUCAUCAUGCCCCUUAUGACCUGGGCUACACACGUGCUUAUACAAUGGACAUGAACAAAGGGCAGCGAAACCGCGAGGUUAAGCCAAUCCCACAAAUCUGUUCUCAGUUCGUGAUCGCAGUCUGCAACUCGACUGCGUGAAUAUAGCUGGAAUCGCUAGUAAUCGCGGAUCAGCAUGCCGCGGUGAAUACGUUCCCGGGCCUUGUACACAACAGUCGUAGUCAGUCAGUCAUGACUUAUAUAUUAUUCGGCGGCGAUUACGAUCGUAUACGUAC